rnacentral:rRNA from 1 species
UACAGAGGGUGCGAGCGUUGUUCGGAAUUACUGGGCGUAAAGGGCCAGUAGGCGGCCAACUAAGUCGGAUGUGAAAUCCCCAGGCUCAACUUGGGAACUGCAUCCGAUACUGGAUGGCUUGAAUUCGGGAGAGGGAUGCAGAAUUCCAGGUGUAGCGGUGAAAUGCGUAGAUAUCUGGAGGAAUACCGGUGGCGAAGGCGGCAUCCUGGACCGACAUUGACGCUGAACGGCGAAAGCUAGGGGAGCAAACGGG